ACUGUUGCAGCAGGUUCCUCCUUUCAUAACAUGAACAUGAAUAUUUGGCAUUUCAUCUGUAUGGUGAUUGUAUCUCAACAAGGUAUCAGUGGUGAUGAAAUCCGAUUAGAUCAGUCUCCUGCUGUGAUGAAGAGACCUGGAGAAACAGUGAAGAUCUCCUGUAAAAUAUCUGGUUUUACGAUGGCGAGCUACUGGAUGCACUGGAUCAGGCAGAAGCCAGGGAAAGCUCUGGAGUGGAUUGGGAGAGUAAACUCUGGCUCUGGUAGUGUUACUUAUGCAGAUACAAUGGAAAAUCACUUCACACUGAGUGAGGACGUGUCUCAAAGUACACAGUAUCUUGAAGCCAAGAGUCUGAGAGAAGAGGACACUGCUGUUUAUUACUGUGCUCGAGAGUCACAGUGACUCCAUCUGUUGAAGCAGCUUUACAAUAACUGAGAACUAAUGAGAAAAGACCAAAUAUUAAACUAUGAAUCAUAUACUUGCUUUCCUUUCAUGAUUAUGAAGUAUUAGUACUCAUGGAUAUAGAACCAUCAUGAUAUUUUCCUCUAAUUUUUCUGAUACUUCCUAGUUUGUAUAUGGAAUCAACUCAACAUACCAGCCUGGUCUCAUUGUUAAUACAUAGGUAUUAAUAUGUAACUUUCAAAAUGUUCCUUCAUGUCAAGAUAUAUGUAUAAUUUCCCUUUUAUCGCUUUGAUAAAUGUAAGAUCCCUAAACCCAAUCCUGAACCAAAACAUACCCAUUUUAUUCAGAAUGUUAAAAGAAUAAAACAAAAUGGACAGAAAUGUGUAGGAAAAUUACAAUUUUAGUAAAAAUAAUACAUUAAAAUGAUAUUUUGAGCCGCUAAUCCUACACCUACCCCUAAACCUACCCAUAACCAUUUCUUAAAACUCCCUACUGUUAUAAAUAAAAGAAUAAAUGACAAACAAGUGUAAUCACA